AUUCAAGUCUAAUGACUGCAACUAGGUGCCAUCUCCGAACAAGUGGUCUGCAAGCACAAAUGAGCAUUCUCUUAACCUCAGGAUCUAAGUGGUAGUUGGUGUGAGAAGAACACUGGUAAGGCUCAGAGGAAUGCCCACAGAGAACCUACAAAGCCGUGCACAGAGGAGGUGAAUAUUCCCUUACAGAGGAAAUACGGCUCAUUAACAUAUAACAGUGAGGUGUUGUACAAGGAAUGGAGAAGUUAACCCUGCAGUUGGAUUAUGCUCAAUAUUGAAGACAGAUUGUGUAUUGUUUUUACUACAUGUGAACAAUCUAA